rnacentral:rRNA from 1 species
GACGAACGCUGGCGGCGUGCUUAACACAUGCAAGUCGAACGAAGUGGCGAACGGGUGAGUAACGCGUAAUCAACCUGCCCUUCAGAGGGGGACAACAGUUGGAACCGACUGCUAAUACCGCAUACUGAAGGAGGGGAUUGCGUCGGAUUAGAUAGUGGGAGGGGUAACGGCCCACCAAGGCGAGGAUCUGUAGCAGGGCUGAGAGGAUGAACGGCCACAUUGGGACUGAGACACGGCCCAGACGCCGACGGGAGGCAGCAGUGGGGAAUCUUCCGCCAUGGACGAAAGUCUGACGGAGCAACGCCGCGUGAGUGAUGACGGCCUUCGGGUUGUAAAGCUCUGUUAAGCGGGACGCGGUACCGGAAUAGAAAGCCACGGCUAACUACGUGCCAGCCGCCGCGGUAAUUC